CCUUCAUCUAGGUUUCCACCAUGUCUCUUGCACCCCUUAUUUGCAGAGCCUAACAGAAAGCUAGAAAAAAAAGAAAUGUACUUUGUGAGGUCCCAGCCCCAGCAUGACAAAGCAGAUUACAGGACAUACAGAGGGUGGGUUUGAAGCUGAAAGACAAGAGCUUAGUAACCAGCACAGCCCAUCUCUUUGGCCAGUCAUCCUUCUAUCCAUAAUUGAAUUUCUAUACAAUAAACAUAGCCCUGUGGUUCUCUUAAGAGGUAACUAUUGUCUGUACAAAUAAAGAUGUUCUUACCUUCUCUCCAGAAUGAGGAAAACACAGUCUCAGCUCCUCAGAUUUAGUACAGUACCAUUACUUAUUCUGUUGCCUAAUGACUAGCCCCAACCACCAAGGUUUUGUGUGUGU